UACAGAGGUCUCGAGCGUUGUUCGGAUUCAUUGGGCGUAAAGGGUGCGUAGGCGGCGUGGCAAGUCUGAUGUGAAAUCCCGGGGCUCAACCCCGGAACUGCAUUGGAUACUGCCAUGCUAGAGUACUGGAGAGGAGAUUGGAAUUUACGGUGCAGUAGUGAAAUGCGUAGAUAUCGUAAGGAAGACCAGUGGCGAAGGCGAAUCUCUGGACAGUUACUGACGCUGAGGCACGAAGGCCAGGGGAGCAAACGGG
rnacentral:rRNA from 1 species